UGAGGAAUAUUGGUCAAUGGGGGCAACCCUGAACCAGCCAAGUCGCGUGAAGGAUGAAGGUCUUAUGGAUUGUAAACUUCUUUUAUACAGGAAUAAAUUGGGGGACGUGUCCCCUUUUGCAUGUACUGUAUGAAUAAGGAUCGGCUAACUCCGUGCCAGCAGCCGCGGUAAUACGGAGGAUCCGAGCGUUAUCCGGAUUUAUUGGGUUUAAAGGGUGCGUAGGCGGCGAUAUAAGUCAGUGGUGAAAUAUUUCGGCUUAACCGAGAGACUGCCAUUGAUACUGUGUUGCUAGAAUAUGGUUGCUGUGAGUGGAAUGUGUGGUGUAGCGGUGAAAUGCUUAGAUAUCACACAGAAUAUCGAUUGCGAAGGCAGCUCACAAAGCCAUUAUUGACGCUGAGGCACGAAAGUGUGGGGAUCAAACA
rnacentral:rRNA from 1 species